rnacentral:lncRNA from 1 species
UUUUCCUUAUCUGCUGUUAAUAGCCCCAUCAAUGCCUUACCACAUGAACCAGAGAUAACACUGUCCAGGAGCAGGUGAUUAAGGACACACCUUGAGACUCAUAAUGACCCAUUGUGAGAUGCUCUGCCCAGGGGGGAGGAGCUAGGCAUUCCAACCUGGAUAAACUGGGGAUUUCUAGACAGAAGAGCCAGCCUUUUCACAGGUUCUCCGAGAGGCCGCAGCGACUACAUCUGCCAUCCCAAAAGGACUGCAGCUACUCCAAUUUGGACUGCUGCCAGCACGCUGGCCAGGUUGCGUUCUGACUUUGUCGGUGGUCUUUCCCUUUGUAUUGUUACAUGUAUUUUUUGUCCUUUUCCCCUUUUUCCCAGUAAAUUGUAUUUCUGACUUGGAGUCUCUCACUGGUUUUGCUUUCAAACCAGAACAUAUUUUUGGCGCCCAACGUGGGGCAAGAAAGCACUGAGAGAAGUCAGAAUUACAAUCUUGUAUUGUAGAGGGUAUCUAUUCACUAUGAUGCUCAACAUGCUUUUUUGGGCCUCAUACCUAGCUCUCUAUAUUUUCCCGAAUGUGGGGAAUUAUGUGGCAAUUGUAAUGCUCAUGUGUAGACCAGGGUAUGGUAUGAGAAUUGCCUUAUUGGUCUACUAUGUCUAUCGCAUUAUGACCUCUGAGGCAAUGAACAUGAUUUGGAAUAUGUACUCAAUUCUGUUUGCUUGUCCUAAUCUAGGCUGCUACAUCUGGGGCCUCGGCAACCUCACCCAGCCCCUGGGGGGAGGGGUAAAGAUUGAUUUUUUCCAACCUUUCAGGCUUGACACAGCAGUUUUUGAAAAUGUUAAAUUCCCUCUGGAUGCCAAGGACAGCAUAAUGUUGUUGUUAGUUCUUCUUUGUCUCCUCUGCACAGUCUGCAACAUGCUUAGAAACAAAACACUACAUAGUGUGAUGCAGCAAAACAUACAUAGUGUGGUGCAGCGUCUUCUUGAGGAAGAGGAAACAAGAAGCAAAGCAGCAGUGUCCGUGCCCGUACAGAAUACCACAACAGCAGCCAUGUCAACGCAGACUGCCACAGAGAAAGAAGGAACCAAAAGGAAAACAACAGUGUCCGUGUCUACGCAGACUGUCAUGGAGGAAGAAACAAAAAGCAAAGCAAAAGUGUCUAUGUCUACACAGACCGGCACAGAGGAGGAAGGAAUCGAAAGCGCCAUCAGCAUCUCCACACAAACCAUCACCAAACCAGAGCAGCCUGAACCCAUAGGAGUUGCCCCUGUUCAGAAGAAGAAAUCGAGGAGCAAAUCAGUCCGCAUAGUGACUGACGAGGACACUGCAGGACCCUCGCACCCAGUGGAAGAGACAGAACCAGAGAUCAUCACUCGCUCUCUAUCCCUGGGUGAGCUACGUGACCUGCGGAGAGAAUUCACCCGCCAGACAAAUGAGUCCAUCCUCACCUGGCUUCUCCGCAUCUGGGACGCUGCAGCCAAUGACACCAUUCUGGAUGGAAGUGAGGCCAGGCAACUGGGAUCACUAUCCCGGGAUGUGGUCAUUG